rnacentral:rRNA from 1 species
GACGAACGCUGGCGGCGUGCUUAACACAUGCAAGUCGAACGGAAAGGCCCUGCUUUUGUGGGGUGCUCGAGUGGCGAACGGGUGAGUAACACGUGAGUAACCUGCCCUUGACUUUGGGAUAACUUCGGGAAACUGGGGCUAAUACCGGAUAGGAGCUCCUGCUGCAUGGUGGGGGUUGGAAAGUUUCGGCGGUUGGGGAUGGACUCGCGGCUUAUCAGCUUGUUGGUGGGGUAGUGGCUUACCAAGGCUUUGACGGGUAGCCGGCCUGAGAGGGUGACCGGGGAAGUGGGGACGAAGGGAGGGAAGAGAGGGCGAGGGGAGGCAGGAGGGGGGAAGAGGGGAGAACGGGGGGGGGCUGGAGGCAGGAGGGCGGGGGGGGGGAGGGGGGCGGGAGGGUGGUAAAAAGAGGGGGGCGGGGACGAAGGGGGAGAGAAGGUAAGGUGGAAAGAAGAACCGGCUAACCAAGUG